ensembl:lncRNA
CCAGCUGGGCGGAGUCUUGGAGUGAUCUCCAGAACGUUCUUGGUAACGGUGAACUGAAGUUCAAUAAAGAAACUGCGGAGAACGCAAAAGUUGAGAAGCUGUUGCCCUGCCUCUUCAAUAAUUUUGCUGAAAUUUCAGAAUAUUAUCUGUCAGCUAGGUGCCCUUGCUGCGGUACCUGUUACAGAUGUUUGGUGGCCAGUACGGGUAGCGGCAACAAAUACGCAGGCUACAAGCACCUUCAGAAUCAACUGUUUAAAGCAGCGCGGGUUUUUCCCUUAUCGACUGACGACGGAGAGACGUCCUGCUUUAUCCAACCGUCAACCUAGAUGGACAGACCCUGCAUUCGCCAUACUGAGCACCUGUGAGGAAUGGAAAGCUGAGACUGUGCUGCACACGCUGAACAACACUGAGAGUUGAGGGUGAACGAGAUUCCUGGAAGAGAGAUCAACCGUGAGGAAGAGGGAAAAGUAGUCAUGGCGGACGGUGAGAGAAAACGUUUGGUGUGGAGCAUCAAGAAGAGUCUACUCACUCUGACAGCUGAUGAACUUUUCCAAUUGGCUACGCACGUUGGUCCUGCACCGGAGAAGGAUUCAUCCACGCUUCAGGUUGGAGAUGAAGACGGUUGCUUUGAGUACAUUCUAGCUUUCAUGAACAGUGAGACGUUGGUAGAGUCUGAGGAUUCAGACCAGGGCCUCGGAGCUAUCCUAUAUCAACACCAAGAUGGAAAGUUGCGUGUCAUUGGAUAUGGGUCUAGGACGCUAACAGCAGCUGAGCGUAACUAUCAUCUGCACAGUGGAAAACUGGAGUUCCUUGCCCUGAAGUGGGCUGUGUGUGAAAAAUGUAGGGAUUACUUGUUUUACGCACCCCACUUUACGAUAUUCACAGACAACAACCCACUGACCUACGUCAUGAGCACAGCAAAACUAAAUGCAGUAGGCCAUCGGUGGGUUGGGGAACUCUCAGACUUCAGAUUCGACAUUAAAUAUAGACCAGGAAAGUCCAAUGCGGAUGCCGACACGCUGUCACGCCUCCCUUUGGACAUUGAGAACUACGCCAAGUCUUG